CAAUAGCGUAUAUUAAAGUUGUUGCGGUUAAAAAGCUCGUAGUUGGAUUUCUGCCGAGGACGACCGGUCCGCCCUCCGGGUGAGUAUCUGGCUCGGCCUGGGCAUCUUCUUGGAGAACGUAGCUGCAUUUGGCUGUGUGGUGCGGUAUUCAGGACUUUUACUUUGAGGAAAUUAGAGUGUUUCAAGUAGGCACACGCCUUGAAUACAUUAGCAUGGAAUAAUAAGAUAGGACCUCGGUUCUAUUUUGUUGGUUUCUAGAUCUGAGGUAAUGAUUAAUAGGGAUAGUUGGGGGCAUUCGUAUUUAACUGUCAGAGGUGAAAUUCUUGGAUUUGUUAAAGACGGACUACUGCGAUAGCAUUUGCCAAGGAUGUUUUCAUUGA
rnacentral:rRNA from 1 species